rnacentral:misc_RNA from 1 species
GUUUUAAAGUGCACGGUAAUGUCUUGACCUGCCUUCAGUUCAUCUUUGUCAUGAGAGUAUAAGAAGUCCUGAAAGAACCCAAAAUCUUUGUAAGACAAGGACUCAGUAAAAAACAGGGUUUAUUGUUUGAUGUCAUUGGGGCAUUUUAUUUAAUUGUUGCUCAAUAGCCCGUCAUCUUCAUCAUCAUCAUCUACUUCUUUAUUUCCUUUAGGUAUUAGGAACACCUUUAAAUUAGGCAAUGGUUAGUAUUUGCUACUCUUUUGUAAAAUAAUCUAAAUUAAAUGGUUAUGGGACUAUAUUCAUCUUAUAUUUAUUUUGG